UACGGAGGGCGCGAGCGUUGUUCGGAAUUAUUGGGCGUAAAGCGCACGUAGGCGGCUCGAAAAGUCUCUUGUGAAAGCCCGGGGCUCAACCCCGGGAGGCCAGGGGAUACUGUCGAGCUGGAGACAGGCAGAGGCUGGUGGAAUUCCGGGUGUAGCGGUGGAAUGCGUAGAGAUCCGGAGGAACACCGGAGGCGAAGGCGGCCAGCUGGGCCUGAUCUGACGCUGAGGUGCGAAGGCGUGGGGAGCGAACAGG
rnacentral:rRNA from 1 species